rfam:Ovis aries breed Texel chromosome 1, whole genome shotgun sequence.
UCCCUGGUGGUCCAGUGGGUAAAACACCGCACUUGCAAUGCAGGGGGCCCAGGUUCGAGCGCUGGUCAGGAAA